rnacentral:rRNA from 2 species
AUUGCGGUCCUCGGAUACGAAUCCCGGACCACGCCUGGCUGAGGGUCG